rnacentral:rRNA from 1 species
CAGUCGCCACGGUAACACGGAGGAUGCAAGCGUUAUCCGGAAUGAUUGGGCGUAAAGCGUCUGUAGGUGGUUUAUUAAGUCUGCUGUUAAAGCACAGGGCUCAACCCUGUAUAGGCGGUAGAAACUGGUAGGCUUGAGUAUGGUAGGGGUAGAGGGAAUUCCCGAUGUAGUGGUGAAAUGCGUUGAUAUCGGGAAGAACACCAAAGGCGAAAGCACUCUGCUGGGCCAAUACUGACACUGAGAGACGAAAGCUAGGGGAGCAAAUGGGAUUAGAUACCCCCGUAGUCCCUGUCUCUUAUAC